rnacentral:rRNA from 1 species
GACGAACGCUGGCGGCGUGCUUAACACAUGCAAGUCGAACGGAAAGGCCCUGCUUUUGUGGGGUGCUCGAGUGGCGAACGGGUGAGUAACAUGUGAGUAACCUGCCCUUGACUUUGGGAUAACUUCAGGAAACUGGGGCUAAUACCGGAUAGGAGCUCCUGCUGCAUGGUGGGGGUUGGAAAGUUUCGGCGGUUGGGGAUGGACUCGCGGCUUAUCAGCUUGUUGGUGGGGUAGUGGCUUACCAAGGCUUUGACGGGUAGCCGGCCUGAGAGGGUGACCGGCCACAUUGGGACUGAGAUACGGCGCAGUCUCCUACGGGAGGCAGCAGUGGGGAAUAUUGCACAAUGGGCGGAAGCCUGAUGCAGCAACGCCGCGUGCGGGAUGACGGCCUUCGGGUUGUAAACCGCUUUCGCCUGUGACGAAGCGUGAGUGACGGUAAUGGGUAAAGAAGCACCGGCUAACUACGUG